GAAAUCACCGGCCUAGCCGGUAUAAAAUUCUAUCCACCUUGUGUGCAAACAAUGGAAAAAAGAGAGAAAAAUGGAUACUUUUGUAUCCAACUUCUCUAAAAUUCUUUAUAAACUCCAUCAAAUUUUGAAUGAAAACAAUUUUUUUUUUAAUAAAAAAUAUUAUA
rnacentral:misc_RNA from 1 species